UGGGGAAUUUUGGACAAUGGGGGAAACCCUGAUCCAGCCAUCCCGCGUGUGCGAUGAAGGCCUUCGGGUUGUAAAGCACUUUUGGCAGGAAAGAAACGUCAUGGGUUAAUACCCCGUGAAACUGACGGUACCUGCAGAAUAAGCACCGGCUAACUACGUGCCAGCAGCCGCGGUAAUACGUAGGGUGCAAGCGUUAAUCGGAAUUACUGGGCGUAAAGCGUGCGCAGGCGGUUCGGAAAGAAAGAUGUGAAAUCCCAGAGCUCAACUUUGGAACUGCAUUUUUAGCUACCGGGCUAGGGUGUGUCAGAGGGAGGUGGAAUUCCGCGUGUAGCAGUGAAAGGCGUAGAUAUGCGGAGGAACACCGAUGGAGAAGGCAGCCUACUGGGAUAACACUGACGCUCAUGCACGAAAGCGUGGGGAGCAAACAGG
rnacentral:rRNA from 1 species